rnacentral:misc_RNA from 1 species
GAUGAAGAACGUAGUGAAAUGCGAUAAGUAAUGUGAAUUGCAGAAUUCAGUGAAUCAUCGAAUCUUUGAACGCACAUUGCGCCCCUUGGGAUUCCGGGGGGCAUGCCUCUUCCAGCGUCAUUUCACCCCUCAAGCUCUGCUUGGUUUUGGGCCGCGCCGGCAACGGCGGGCCUCGAAAAUAGUGGCGACGCCAUCGUGCUCUCAGCGUAGUAAUUCUUCUCGCUGUUGGGUCCCGGUGGUCGUCCGCCAGCAACCCCCAACUUUCUUAAGUUUGACCUGGGAUGAGGUAGGGAUACCCGCUGAACUUAAGCAUAUCAAUAAGCGGAGGA